GAAUAUUGGACAAUGGGCGCAAGCCUGAUCCAGCCAUGCCGCGUGUGUGAAGAAGGCCUUCGGGUUGUAAAGCACUUUAAGUUGGGAGGAAGGUUUCUUGGCUAAUAUCCAAGAGAAUUGACGUUACCAACAGAAUAAGCACCGGCUAAUUCCGUGCCAGCAGCCGCGGUAAUACGGAAGGUGCGAGCGUUAAUCGGAAUUACUGGGCGUAAAGCGCACGUAGGUGGCUACUUAAGUCGGAUGUGAAAGCCCUGGGCUUAACCUGGGAAUUGCAUCCGAUACUGGGUGGCUAGAGUACGGUAGAGGGUGGUGGAAUUCCCGGUGUAGCAGUGAAAUGCGUAGAGAUCGGGAGGAACAUCUGUGGCGAAGGCGGCCACCUGGACCAGCACUGACACUGAGGCACGAAAGCGUGGGGAGCAAACAGG
rnacentral:rRNA from 1 species